ensembl:lncRNA
AUAAAGUGUGAUACGAACAUGAAUCAAUUAAAUUAGAGGAAAAAAUAGUGCACAAAGAACAAAUGUAUGAAGUCAUUGCUCUUUGAGUCCUUUGUAAUAGCUGACCCUGAUGAAAAAUAAAAUAAAAUAACAUAAGGGCAGAGAUUCAACAAGGAAAACAACAUCAAUAUUUAAAAAGUUAGAUUUUGGAAAACUGUUGUGGCUCAAGGGGCUUUUGUUGUACAAUUCUGCAUUCGUGUGACAGAUGCAAUUGCCAGACCUUCCCUUGGUCUACAGGAAACCUGAAAGAGAUCAAUAUUUUAUUGGUACAGAUACGUAAAUUUACCUAGUGCUUUAAAACACCUCUAAGACCAAAUCCAGAGGUGCUGAGGAACUCUACUCUUAGGAGACUAAAGUAGAUGUUGUGUCUUCGGAGCUUCUUGAAACAGUGCUUUACAAAAUCAGAGCUCUUUGUUUCAGAUGCGGACAAUGGCAGUUCCAACCCAACCCAUGACCUCUGCCUUGAAACAUGGUGGGUCAGCCAGGAGGUGAGGAGGUGGGGUAAAGCAGAUGAGCUGGAUGAGGAAUACGGUGACAAACUCCCCAUCUGCUGUUCGCUGUUGGAAGCAUCCAGAGCAAUAUUUGAACUGGUGGGAAGAAGUUGCAGAACAGUGGAGAUCCCACCGCCAUUCAGCCAUGAUGGAGGACGUGUUUUCAGACACAGCCCACUCCUCCUGCCAAUUUGCUGGGGUUGCAGAAGAAAGAGGAGGAAGAGGAGAAGGAGGAGUGGCCAGUGGUGGUGGUUGCUCUGGCUGCAGCAGCUGUGGAGGCCCUGCUAAUACAGUAACUUCCUUAUCUCAGGAAACCCAAGUGGCUCCAACAAGAGAAGCAGAGUAGGACAAUCCAGGAGAAGACAGCUGACUGCAGUGUUUACUAGUCUGCAGAAUAGACAACUUACAUUGUUAAAAUUGAUCAGAACAUGUUCUACUGGAACUAAGCAGAUAAGAAUUACUUCAUUCUUUUUUGCCCCUGAGCACCCUAGGAGACCUGUGUUAGAUCUGGGCUUUGUCUGCUUGAAAAAGUGGAAGGGUUGACCUGCUGAAGGGAGAACCACUAAAGCGCUCCAACAUUACUAUGGUCUUAUAAUGCCUGAGACAGAUCACAAGAUUAACUCUUAUAAUCAACAACAAGAUCAUCAAUUUGUACACUAUAUAAAUUAAAGUGCAUGCAUAUAAAUCUGCAACCUUGAAUAAUACUGUCACAGCUUCUGCUUUGUUUGUUUUGUGCAGCUUCUUGCUUUGACCAUUUCUUGCUUUGACCAUGAAUAUGCCUGCUGGGUCUGGUGCAUGAAAUCCCUUCCAAGUCCUCCCUUUUGCUUCACGAUGAUGCAGAAGGUGACUCUUCAGUAAGUAACACAAAAUGAUUUUAGACUUGUAUAAAUAAUAUACACGUUCUGUCUCCCUUUGAUUGAAUGAUGAAUAGCAUUUAGAGCGAUUGAUUUGCCGGCAGGAGCACUCGGCGGUGGCUGGAACAGCUUGUUCUGCCCUUGGAUCUCCCAAAUGAGUUCCGCAUCUCCCGCAGCUUGGUCUUCUGGUGCUCCUCCAGCACUGCACAAGUGCUUGGCCUUGGCUUGGUCACCUUGCCCCAACACACCCGUGUCUCAUGUCCCUGCCUGCCCAAAACGCCUUGCACGGCAGCUCGAUCUGCUGCUUAGAUGGCACCCUCUUUAUUUUCUUUGAUAUUUAACAGAAAAUAAUUCUGCAGUGAGCUUUAUUUAAGCAGCAGGAUAGAUUAAAAAAUGAAAUAUGUUUAGCAAGAUUUGGGGGAAAGGCUGGAGUAAUUAAUUUUCAAUAAUACCUGGCAUUUCUAGAACUCCUUUCAUCCCGAGAUCACCAAACAGUUUACAGACAUUAAUUAAUUAAAGCAUUAUGAUGCCCCAGUGUGGGGCCAUUGCCUGCAUGUCUGACUCAGACAAACUCUCCCCAAAUCCCCGGACGGGCAAGCGCUGUGCACUGCGGUGUCUGCACCAGAACUAUACCCAGGAGUAAAUACCGCUCAGCUUUCCUAAGGUUUGCACUCUGUGGCCCUACGUAAAUAUUUUCCAGUGAGUUUGAUUAUUUGUCUUUUAUUCUCUAUCAGGAAAGCCCCAAAUAUCUCAGUAAUAAAAUUUCCAGCGUGUGUGUGUGCAGGAGGACAGUUCUGAUGGUUAUUUUUUUGAUUCAGCUUCACAUUAAAACAUCUCUGCUCUUGAAACUCCCAUUGCAGGCUCAGAGCUGGACAUGUAUUUUAAGGUUUGAUUUUGGAGUGAGCUUGCUGGGCAUUUUUGACAGCACAGUAAAUUCCAUGGGAAGAGAAGAGGUGUUCAAUGUUCACCCAGAGGGAUGCGCAUAGCGUCACACUCCUGGAAAUCACCCUGAAGUACAAGUUCAGUGAAAUCUUAUGAAAGCUGUAGAUUAUACAAACUUUCAUCACUCCAAUGAUUUGAUUCAUGAACGCAUAAAUAGAUAGAUAGAUAGAUCCAUCAAGGAAAUCCCAAGGGAACAAUGCAAUGGUGUUUGUGAUUGGAAAAAUAUUAUAAAAGAGCUCACGUAGAGCCAAUAGUUAGGCAGUUUUGUAGCGCCAAGAUAAAUAGAGAAGAAAUAGCAUUUCAUGAUCACAUUUUUAAAGGAUGUUGGAAGUUACCAAAGCAGGGGAAAUCCUGUAGGGAUUGCCUAUACUCAGGUGUGUUCCCUUGUGGUUCUGCCACUGGCCGGCCACCUGUGGCCCCAGUGCUGCCCCAGGACUAUGGAAUAAUGAGAUGGCACUUCGUACAUGGGCAAUGCUCUCGUAUGAAGGGUUUGAUCUCAUCUCUCAGCCAUUCAGACACUGGAUGAUGUUCCCAUUUGCCAUAAGACCUUCCAGUUCAGCUGGGAUAUUCAGCAGCUGUCUCCUGGAUCAGUCCUGAAGGAUGCAUUUGUAACAGAAGAAUGGAAAAAAUGAACUGAUUUUUUGUUGUCCACUUUCCUCCUGGAUUGGCUAUUUUCAUAUAAACCAAAUGAAAAUUGAUAGCAGUAUGGAAGUCCCUUUCACUCCAGGUUACCAGGCUAGCAUCUAGCCAGAGGUUGGGCUGGUUAAGUCUGCUGCUUCUAAUUUUUUAUUUAUUCCAACUUUGUAUUUAUUCCAACUCAACACUGGGGUGAAAAAAAAAAAAAAAAAGAGGCCACUCAUUGGCAGAGACAGGAAUUGGAGGAAAUGCUAGGCAAGUGCUACAGCACCUUGGUGUCCCAGCAGCUCCCACUGGGAGGGCAUCACCCAGUGUGCUCGGCAUGGAGCCACAUGGAAGUGUGUGGAUAUAGAAGUGCCCAUGUGUGCUAGGGAAGGUGCUGUUCCAAGCAGGAAGCUCCAGCGGAUGGUGGGACACUGCUGGCUUGUUGACUGUGUGGAAAGCGCAUCACUGGGGAGCACCACGACGAGGAGGUAUGAGCAAAAAUUCUUAAAUAAACACAAGUGACAUUUGGCAUAUAAAUAAGAUAGGGAAUACUCUUGCACAAGCAGCACAGGUCAACAGCUAUCUUUUAUCUCCCAGAGUAAAAUAGGUUGCUUUAGAAAUAUAAAAGCACAAAGUAGUUGUGGAAGGGGUGGUGGAAGGCCCCGGCUGGUGCUGCUGCGGGCACUGGUGCUGCCCUUGAUGGCACAGCUCGGCCCCUGGCUGGGCGCCUCUGCAACUUCCCUGCUUGAUUUUUUUCCUUGCAUCUGAUUAAUGCAUAACAAGUCCCUUCAGAGAGUAAAUACUGAUCUGAAAUAGCACAGUAAACAAAUAACACGGGAACAGGCUUCGAGUGUCUAUGUACAUACGUCUAUAAAAUGCAUCGCAUACGCACGCGUGCCCACGUUGUUAUUGUGUAGGUUAGCUAAGGGGAUUUACCUCCUUUUUAAUAUUUUUGAAGACUGCUUUAUGAUCCUGUUGACCCGCUAUUAGCAAAAGCUUAGCUUUCAACAAAGGUAAUUAAAUUAUAAAAUCACUGCUGCAAUCAUCAAACUACUCAUAAAACAAGAAAUGAAAAAAAAAAAAUACCCUGAAAUAAAAAUCUUGCAGGCUUCUCCUCGUGUAAUAUUGCUCCCUGAUGUUAAUUACAUUUAAAUGGGAGAGUACUAUUUUGGUAUCAUUCAUACGCCUCCAAAAGUACUUUCCAGUUUAUCAUACCUGUCAACCCCAGUGCAUCACAGGCUAAUACUUUAUUAAGAAAAAAAUCAUUAGGGAGCUGCUGAUCCCAUUUAAGUACAUUGGGCAGAAUGUAAGACUAAUUAAAAAGCAUAUUUUUACAUUAUUAAUUUCUGAGUUUCACACUUAAUGAAUGUGAAAUGACAGGGCUACUAUUUUUAUAUUCAGGCUCUCUGGGCUCUUCAGCCAGGGGAAUUAAAUUCUGGGGAUUUUUGCAAAGAUGCUUCUUGGGAGAUUUGUUUUCAAGAACAGCUAAGCUUUUUUAGCUAUGCCUUUUUCUGGGAAAUUAUACCAAAGCAUAUUACAGCCACUUAAAAAGAGUGGUUAAAUAGAUGUUGUGUUGGGUUGUUUUUUUUUUUUUUUUUUUUCCAUCGUGCUGCUAUAAAAGUAUUUUAGAUGAGGUAUAAAAUAUGGUUUUUAAAUGAUAUUAUGAUUUGCAAACACUAAAAAAUAAUUGCGGUGGAGUUGAGAGAGAGCGAAAACAUCUAAUCUUUAUUGUGUAAGACAAUGUGAUAAAAUAUUUUACAGCCAAAAGCUCAUUUUGCAUCUGGAAAAUUGUGCAAACUGAUGGGGGGAAAAAAUCUCAUUAAAACUAAAGGUUAUUUUUAAUAUUCCUCAAACAAAGCAACGCAUUAUAACCGCGUUUCUCCUCCGCGUAUUUAUUAAAUCAGACAAUUGUACGAAUGUCUGACGCUCUAUUUAAAUAAAGACAUAAAACGGCAGAGGCCGUGUGAUCAGGCAGGCUGAGCUGGAUUUAUACCGGCUUUUAGAGACCACCGGAGUCAAAGCACAGCACCGGUGUUGGAGGGGUUUGCUUGUUUGUGCUGAGCAGUCGCAGCAUUACGGUUGUUAUUAAGCAGGAGGGGUUGCGGUAGUGGAACCUGUGCGGGGUGAGGUUGGCACUGCCGUCCCUGCAAGCACGACACAGCACAGCUCACUUUUAUAGGGCUGUGCAAGGAGGAGUGGAGAAAAGCUUUUUUCCUCCCCCCCCCCCCCCCUUCUUUUUUUUUUUUUUCCUCUCUCCAAAUGUGCUUACAAUUACCUCUCUGUAUUUUUAUUGUCUUUUUACUAACCACAAAACUCACACUGGAGGCAAAGCUUAACGGCUGAGGCUUUCCUCAUGUAAAUAUUAGGAAAUUACAUUUGUACAAACUGCGCGGCUUUGUAAAGGGGGCUGGAGCCACUCCAACACAAAUUAAUC